rnacentral:rRNA from 1 species
UACGUAGGGUGCAAGCGUUGUCCGGAAUUAUUGGGCGUAAAGAGCUCGUAGGCGGUCUGUCGCGUCUGCUGUGAAAAACUCCAGGGCUUAACCCUGAGCUUGCAGUGGGUACGGGCAGACUAGAGUGCGGUAGGGGAGACUGGAAUUCCUGGUGUAGCGGUGAAAUGACGCAGAUAUCAGGAGGAACACCGGUGGCGAAGGCGGGUCUCUGGGCCGUAACUGGACGCUGGAGGAGCGAAAGCCAUGGGG